GACGAACGCUGGCGGCGUGCUUAACACAUGCAAGUCGAACGGAAAGGCCCUGCUUGCAGGGUACUCGAGUGGCGAACGGGUGAGUAACACGUGGGUUAUCUGCCCUGCACUUCGGGAUAAGCCUGGGAAACUGGGUCUAAUACCGGAUAGGAGCCAUUUUUAGUGUGAUGGUUGGAAAGUUUUUUCGGUGUAGGAUGAGCUCGCGGCCUAUCAGCUUGUUGGUGGGGUAAUGGCCUACCAAGGCGGCGACGGGUAGCCGGCCUGAGAGGGUGGACAGCCACAUUGGGACUGAGAUACGGCCCAGACUCCUACGGGAGGCAGCAGUGGGGAAUAUUGCACAAUGGGCGCAAGCCUGAUGCAGCGACGCCGCGUGGGGGAUGACGGCCUUCGGGUUGUAAACGCCUUUCGCUAGGGACGAAGCUUUUUGUGACGGUACCUAGAGAAGAAGCACCGGCUAACUACGUG
rnacentral:rRNA from 1 species